rnacentral:tRNA from 1 species
CCGCCAGGAGAGGUUGAUGCGGAGGUUGCCGGUCGCCGCGCCCUGCUUGGUCAGGGAGACCUGGCUGUGCCGUUUGGUCAGCUGGA